UAAUUAUAUUCGUAAUAAUCAUAUAAUUCUAGUAAUUGGUCUAGAAGUUUCUACCAGACACCGUAAUGUCUUGGCUAUGAGUUAUUUGCG
rnacentral:ncRNA from 1 species